GGUCGACAGUAAAACGUUUGUAGGUUGUAACUUGUUUGUCAACGGCUAUGAUUUUAUGCUCACCCAGUCUGUCAGAGGCCUUCCAGUGGGGAUUGAAAUAUUCACUUGUUACACAUUCCGAUACAUAAAAUGAAAUUUUCUUUUUACAAAGCUUGAAAGGAAUUUGUUUUAAAUAUUUAUUAUAAUCAUCACAUACAACCGUGUCAUUUAUAAGAAUAAUAAUGUUCAGAGAUGAUAUAUUAUUUAAUAAUAAUAAAAAAAAUAGGUUUAUCCAUUGUAAAAAAAACUAUUAAGUUGAUGGGGUUAAUUCACAAAAUAUCUCAUUGAUUAAGAGCACAACUACUUCUACGGUGUGAUCAUUUAAGAAUGGCCUACUAUUUAUUCAAUGCGUAUACAUGUGGGUUUUGUUUGUGAAGAGUUCUGGAUAAUUAAAAAAUCAUUUGAUUUCUUUUUUUAAUACCAUAAAACGAUUCAUUCUUUCAGAUAUUUG
rnacentral:lncRNA from 1 species